ensembl:lncRNA
GAGAGUUGACAGGUACACUUAACACAACAUUUUGAAGGUAUAUGGAAGUUGUCUUUGGGGGAGGGGGGAACACAAUAUUACAAGGAAUCCGAAAGUUUGACUGGCGAUGGAUAUUUUUCAAUCUAAAAGGAAAUCGUCCAUACUGGAAUGUAUCAAAUAGGCAGAAUUCUCUUGCCAAUUUCUCUGCUCUUGGUGGAUGCAGUUCUGACUUCGGCUGGUAUCUGAACAGGGCAGAAACGUCUCACGAUCAAAUUCCACUGCCCUGAGGAAGGACAGAGCUGGAGCACCCACAAAGCAAAGAGCAGAGACGACGCAGGGACGGGUCUGUAAGGAUUCGAGUCUCCCAGAAGGGACGGCCAGAAAAAUGAGAAGGUAGAAGGAGAAAGAAAGGGCGUGGCUGAGCUAAGGCACUUUCCCCGUCGUCUCAGAAAGAGUGCGGCUUAACUGGGGUUUUCUUCCGCUCGAAAUCCGCUGGGUCUGGAGUCGACUCUCCCCGUGUCCACGAACCUGUAUCUCCAUCACCUAGUAGGGCCCUCACCACCCAAUCUACCUCCGGAUCCUCGCAGGCGCCGCACUAGCGCGCCGCCCGCCCACCUACCUGCGCUGCGCCUGCGCCUCCCCCACCUCUCGCGCUCUCAAGGUCAGCGCCGCCCCCGGCCUCUAACCGAGCACCCACGGAAGCGGCAAUAGAGGACAUCCUACGUCGCCUCACCUCUGCGUGGCGUGGGGUCGCCGGCGUUCGGCAGAGGGGAGGGACUUCCUGUCCCGCCGAGCAGAACUUCCGGCCGAGCCGGAAGAUCCUCUCCCUCGCGGUGUCGCGAGGCUCCCGGCUGCAGGGUUGGGAGGGGAGAUUCGGGACGACCCCGGUGUACUCCUGGGCGUCGGGUCCACGACCUUUUCUUGGCGCCAUGUUCCAGUUAUCAAGAGAAUUGAAGCCUAGGGGCAACCAAUCUGGACAGAAGCCAUCUCUUUGGUCAAGUUAUUGUUUUGAGGGCCUAAUAAAACCAUUAAGGCCACUUGGCCAAUGACCCAUAAGGUUGUGUGCUUGNNNNNNNNNNNNNNNNNNNNNNNNNNNNNNNNNNNNNNNNNNNNNNAGUUUAAUAGUUUUUUUGUGUGAAGUUUAUGUUUGUUUAUGGUUAAAUUUACUUAAGCAUUAGCUUUUAAUUUAAAAUGAUGAAAGAUAUUCAGGGAAUUUGGUUUUUACACUAAACAUUUCAAAAAUUCUGUUUUGUACAAACUUAGAUAUACAUGGGCACUUAAGAUGAUCAGUGAAAGCAGGUUAUUAAAAUUUGUUUUUAAAUUUCACAUAAUUGUGUCUGUUAAUUAAUGAGUUGAAUAUAUUUUAAUAUGUUAAUCCCUGGCAUGUACACUGUGAUUGUCAAUUGUAUAGUAAUGUCUCAAAAGUUGAUCUAAGUUUAGUACAAACAACAUAUUAAGUUGAUAAUACAUAAUUCUGUAAAAUGGUUGUCAUUUUGAAAAUAUAUUCCAAGGACUCUUUUCCAAAUAAAUAUGAAAAGGAUUAACUUUGGGGACAUAUUUCCCACAUAAUUUAAAAAUUAUUUCUCAAAAAAAUUAGGUGGAUUCUUCUAUUGAGAAAAAACAACAUUUUCUUUUAGUCCACAUAUACAGUUACCUAACAGCUGAUUUAUUCUUGGAAGGGUUUAUUGACUUCUGUUAGAAAGUUGGAAGAAAAUUUAUAUAUUUAACAGUAAACAGAUGAGGUUUUGAGAAAGUACUUUCAACUUUAUUUUAAAAAGAUGGAAAUGGCAUAGUAAGAUAAGUGAAUAGAGUGAAAUUACAUUUUUGAAUGUUUUUUAGUCAAACUUUAGCUACAACAUUGAGAAUGAUGUUUGCCUUUCACGAGGUUGAUCUCUUUAGUUCCUCAUUUGCUUCAGUAUACCAUCAUUCUCUGAAUUCUUCAACAAUAUCUUUAGAAUACAUUUUUCUUCUUACAACCAGAGAUACCAUUGUAAUUUAAAUUGUUAUCUUUUUGGUGU